rnacentral:rRNA from 1 species
UACGGAGGGUGCAAGCGUUAUCCGGAUUUACUGGGUUUAAAGGGUGCGUAGGCGGGCUUUUAAGUCAGCGGUGAAAUCUCCAGGCUCAACCUGGAAAUUGCCGUUGAUACUAUUAGUCUUGAAUUAAGUUGAGGUGGGCGGAAUAUGUCAUGUAGCGGUGAAAUGCUUAGAUAUGACAUAGAACACCGAUUGCGAAGGCAGCUCGCUAAACUUAUAUUGACGCUGAGGCACGAAAGCGUGGGGAUCAAACAGG